GACGAACGCUGGCGGCGUGCUUAACACAUGCAAGUCGAACGGAAAGGCCCUGCUUUUGUGGGGUGCUCGAGUGGCGAACGGGUGAGUAACACGUGAGUAACCUGCCCUUGACUUUGGGAUAACUUCAGGAAACUGGGGCUAAUACCGGAUAGGAGCUCCUGCUGCAUGGUGGGGGUUGGAAAGUUUCGGCGGUUGGGGAUGGACUCGCGGCUUAUCAGCUUGUUGGUGGGGUAGUGGCUUACCAAGGCUUUGACGGGUAGCCGGCCUGAGAGGGUGACCGGACAGGUGGGGGAGGGGAGGCGCGCGAUGGCGGGGCGGGCGGCGGGAGGGGGGAAGAGGGCAGCGUGGGAGGGGGCGUGGGGGCGCAGGGCGGGGGGGGGGGGGGCGGCCUGGGGGUGGGAGGCGGUUGCCGCGGGGGAGGAGGGGUGAGGGAGGGUGAUGGGAAAAGAAGCCCCGAGUAACGACGGGCCCGCGGCUGCGGUAAUAAGGGGAGGAGCACCCUACUGCAC
rnacentral:rRNA from 1 species